UACGUAGAGUGCAAGCGUUGUCCGGAAUUAUUGGGCGUAAAGAGCUCGUAGGCGGUCUGUUGCGUCUGCUGUGAAAACCCGGGGCUCAACCCCGGGCCUGCAGCCGAUACGGGCAGACUAGAGUUCGGCAGGGGAGAGUGGAAUUCCUGGUGUAGCGGUGAAAUGCGCAGAUAUCAGGAGGAACACCGGUGGCGAAGGCGGGUCUCUGGGCCGAUACUGACGCUGAGGAGCGAAAGCGUGGGGAGCGAACAGG
rnacentral:rRNA from 1 species